AGAAUCAACGCUGGCGGCGUGCCUAACACAUGCAAGUCGCACGAGAAAGUGGAGCAAUCCACGAGUAAAGUGGCGCACGGGUGAGUAACACGUGAAUGAUCUACCUCCGAGUGGGGAAUAACUGAGAGAAAUCUUAGCUAAUACCGCAUAAUACCCACGGGUCAAAGCAGCAAUGCGCUUGGAGAGGAGUUCGCGGCCGAUUAGCUAGUUGGCGGGGUAAUGGCCCACCAAGGCGAUGAUCGGUAUCCGGCCUGAGAGGGCGCACGGACACACUGGAACUGAAACACGGUCCAGACUCCUACGGGAGGCAGCAGUGGGGAAUUUUGCGCAAUGGGGGAAACCCUGACGCAGCAACGCCGCGUGGAGGAUGAAAUCCCUUGGGAUGUAAACUCCUUUCGAUAGGGAAGAUAAUGACGGUACCUAUAGAAGAAGCCCGGCUAACUUCGUGCCAGCAGCCGC
rnacentral:rRNA from 1 species